UUGCAACGGAGGGCAGAGGCCCAUUUCU
rnacentral:piRNA from 1 species